AUUGAACGCUGGCGGCAUGCCUUACACAUGCAAGUCGAACGGCAGCACGGGAGCAAUCCUGGUGGCGAGUGGCGAACGGGUGAGUAAAGUAUCGGAACGUGCCCAGUCGUGGGGGAUAACGUAGCGAAAGUUACGCUAAUACCGCAUACGAUCUAUGGAUGAAAGCGGGGGAUCGCAAGACCUCGCGCGAUUGGAGCGGCCGAUAUCAGAUUAGGUAGUUGGUGGGGUAAAGGCUCACCAAGCCGACGAUCUGUAGCUGGUCUGAGAGGACGACCGGCCACACUGGGACUGAGACACGGCCCAGACUCCUACGGGAGGCAGCAGUGGGGAAUUUUGGACAAUGGGCGAAAGCCUGAUCCAGCCAUGCCGCGUGCAGGAUGAAGGCCUUCGGGUUGUAAACUGCUUUUGUACGGAACGAAAAGGUUUGGGCUAAUAAGCUGUGCUCAUGACGGUACCGUAAGAAUAAGCACCGGCUAACUACGUGCCAGCAGCCGCCGUAAGAC
rnacentral:rRNA from 1 species